GAUGAACGCUAGCGGCAGGCUUAACACAUGCAAGUCGAGGGGUAUGCUUCGUUCGGAAGCAGAGACCGGCGCACGGGUGCGUAACGCGUAUGCAAUCUACCCUUUUACAGAGGGAUAGCCCAGAGAAAUUUGGAUUAAUACCUCAUAGUAUUAUAGAAUGGCAUCAUUUUAUAAUUAAAGUCACAACGGUAAAGAUGAGCAUGCGUCCCAUUAGCUAGNGGUUAAGGUAACGGCUUACCAAGGCUACG
rnacentral:rRNA from 1 species